rnacentral:rRNA from 1 species
UACGAAGGGGGCUAGCGUUGUUCGGAAUUACUGGGCGUAAAGCGCACGUAGGCGGAUACUUAAGUCAGGGGUGAAAUCCCGGGGCUCAACCCCGGAACUGCCUUUGAUACUGGGUAUCUCGAGUCCGGAAGAGGUGAGUGGAAUUCCGAGUGUAGAGGUGAAAUUCGUAGAUAUUCGCAAGAACACCAGUGGCGAAGGCGGCUCACUGGCCCGAUACUGACGCUGAGGCACGAAAGCGUGGGGAGCAAACAGG